CCGAAAUAUCACCUCAAACCUAAUAAGCCUAUCUUUUGUGAGAAGUUUGUAUAUCGUACGUACGUUUAUAUACAGCAGGAGUGUCCAAGGUCGGUCCUCAAGGGCCGCUGUCUUUUUGUUUUCCAGCUCUCCCAGGAUGUUCUAAUGCUGCAUCAGAGCUGACUGAUGAACUGAUCAUCUGAAACAGGUGUGAUGCAGCCGGGAGAGCUGGAAAACAGGCACGACAGUGGCCCUCCAGGCCCAGAUCGGGACAUGCCUGAUAUACAGUAUAAUUUACAUGUUCAUACAUCUUCAAGGAUUUUCCAAAUUGCUCUUGAAGAUCAUGAAACAACAAACGUGAAACACAGUAUCCAACAACAAAUAUGAAAUCCAUAAUUGACCAUCCCACCCUAAAUGCACCAUUGCUAUUGCUUUAGUUAACUUGAACUGUAAUGUACCCAGACGUGCUCGCAUUUCAAUGGCCUAGCCAUUCAUUUCCCUUUUUAAUGCAGUUAUAUCCUGUUGUGGAUGUAGUUUUUGAUGGACACCCAGCCUCUGUCGUUCAGAGCUGCUGGCUCUGCGUGGAGACAGGACUCACAGCUCGUUUUACCUGAAACUUUAUGGCUUGUUAUGAAAUCAAACAUAUGUCGCUCAACAGCCUUCACUUCAUAAUCUGUCCACGUGCGUCUCUUAUUCCCACCUGUAAAAGAAGGCAUUAUUUAUUAAAAAUGGAAAAAUAAUCAAAAUAAGAUAUUCCAGGAAAUAAUGAGAAUUUUGAAAAUUUGAGAAUUUUGAGAAUUUAUCUCUCAUUCCAUUCAUGGUCUCCAGAGGGUUCAGUCAGGUCACUUGGUGUCUGGAACAUAACAUUACGGUGUCAAAAUAUUCAGCAUUCUUCAUUCUGACCAGUUAAGAAAUGAAUAAACAUUAAUUAUCAUUGAACAUUGCUCACGGGAGAGUUUGGGAUGAAUAUACCACACUAUAGAAAGUUAACACUGUUCAGUUCUGUGGAACAGCAAUAUGGGGACAUUCGAACACAGGCUCUCCAGAGUUAGGUUAAGACAAAAGUCAUGUCACCUGAAACACACUCAGGUUUUUCAGGUCUGAAGAAAUAUGAGGACAUGACGACUGAAAUCAUGGAGAGUCUAUGUUUCUGACUUAUAACUUCUCCCGUGUUUGUCAAAGAAAGCUGAAAACUCAAACCUAGUAUAUCAUGAUAAGAAGUAGUAACCUGUUGUAAGAAUGAAGUGGAUCUCUCACUCCAUUCAUGGUCUCCAGAGGGUUCAGUCAGGUCACUUGGUGUCUGCAACAUAACAUUACGGUGUCAACAUAUUCAGCAUUCUUCAUUCUGACCAGUUAAGAAAUGAAUAAAUAUUAAUUAUCAUUGAACAUUGCUCACGGGAGAGUUUGGGAUGAAUAUACCACACUAUAGAAAGUUAACACUGUUCAGUUCUGUGGAACAGCAAUAUGGGGACAUUCGAACACAGGCUCUCCAGAGUUAGGUUAAGACAAAAGUCAUGUCACCUGAAACACACUCAGGUUUUUCAGGUCUGAAGAAAUAUGAGGACAUGACGACUGAAAUCAUGGAGAGUCUAUGUUUCUGACUUAUAACUUCUCCCGUGUUUGUCAAAGAAAGCUGAAAACUCAAACCUAGUAUAUCAUGAUAAGAAGUAGUAACCUGUUGUAAGAAUGAAGUGGAUCUCUCACUCCAUUCAUGGUCUCCAGAGGGUUCAGUCAGGUCACUUGGUGUCUGCAACAUAACAUUACGGUGUCAACAUAUUCAGCAUUCUUCAUUCUGACCAGUUAAGAAAUGAAUAAAUAUUAAUUAUCAUUGAACAUUGCUCACGGGAGAGUUUGGGAUGAAUAUACCACACUAUAGAAAGUUAACACUGUUCAGUUCUGUGGAACAGCAAUAUGGGGACAUUCGAACACAGGCUCUCCAGAGUUAGGUUAAGACAAAAGUCAUGUCACCUGAAACACACUCAGGUUUUUCAGGUCUCAAGAAAUAUGAGGACAUGACGACUGAAAUCAUGGAGAGUCUAUGUUUCUGACUUAUAACUUCUCCUGUGUUUGUCAAAGAAAGCUGAAAACUCAAACCUAGUAUAUC